CAACCCAGGACCCCAGUUAGAGCCAGCCAACACCAGACACUUGAGAUAAAAAUCAAAGCUUCAUCAGGAGAAAACUGUUUGCCCCUGCCCCUUGGGAGGUUGAUAUGAUGCCUGGAGCUGCAGCAGCCACCCUGCAAUCAUGAAGCAGUACACGUGAGGAUGAAAAGCCAAUACAGUGACGUUGUGAGAAUGGAAAGACAGAAUAAGCCUGGCUCUUUGGUGACGUUGUUGAACUCCAGGUACACCACCUCUGGACUACCUGCUUCAAGACCUUUUGUUUAGGCCAGGUGCAGUGGCUCACACCUGAAAUCCCACCAUUUUGGGAGGCUGAGGCAGGUGGAUCACCUGAGCUCAGGAGUUCAAGACCAGCCUGGCCAACAUGGUGAAAC
rnacentral:lncRNA from 1 species